CCAACAGGGAUUGCCUCAGUAACGGCGAGUGAAGCGGCAACAGCUCAAAUUUGAAAUCUGGCCCUUGCGGUCCGAGUUGUAAUUUGCAGAGGAUGCUUCGGGUGCGGCGUCGACCAAGUCCCCUGGAACGGGGCGCCAUAGAGGGUGAGAGCCCCGUCGGGUCGGCCGCCAAGCCUGUGUGAAGCUCCUUCGACGAGUCGAGUAGUUUGGGAAUGCUGCUCUAAACGGGAGGUAGACCCCUUCUAAAGCUAAAUAUUGGCCAGAGACCGAUAGCGCACAAGUAGAGUGAUCGAAAGAUGAAAAGCACUUUGAAAAGAGGGUUAAACAGUACGUGAAAUUGUUGAAAGGGAAGCGCUUGUGACCAGACGUGCGCCGGGUGUUCAGCGGGCGUUCUCGCCCGUGCACUCACCCCGGCGCAGGCCAGCGUCGGUUCGGAUGGGGGGACAAAGGCCCUGGGAAUGUGGCUCCUCCGGGAGUGUUAUAGCCCAGGGCGUCAUGCCCCCGCCCGGACCGAGGUUCGCGCUCUGCAAGGACGCUGGCGUAAUGGUCCCCAGCGGCCCGUCUUGAAACACGGACCAAGGAGUCGAGGUUUUGCGCGAGUGUUUGGGUGUCAAACCCGCACGCGUAAUGAAAGUGAACGCAGGUGGGAGCUUCGGCGCACCACCGACCGAUCCUGAUGUUCUCGGAUGGAUUUGAGUAGGAGCGUAGGGCCUCGGACCCGAAAGAUGGUGAACUAUACGUGGAUAGGGUGAAGCCAGAGGAAACUCUGGUGGAGGCUCGCAGCGGUUCUGACGUGCAAAUCGAUCGUCAAAUCUGCGUAUGGGGGCGAAAGACUAAUCGAACCAU
rnacentral:rRNA from 2 species